UGGCGGACGGGUGAGUAAUGUCUGGGAAACGUGCCUGAUGGAGGGGGAUAACUACUGGAAACGGUAGCUAAUACCGCAUAACGUCGCAAGACCAAAGAAGGGGGACCGUUCGGGCCUCUUGCAUCGGAUGUGCCCAGAUGGGAUUAGCUAGUAGGUGGGGUAACGGCUCACCUAGGCGACGAUCCCUAGCUGGUCUGAGAGGAUGACCAGCCACACUGGAACUGAGACACGGUCCAG
rnacentral:rRNA from 1 species